rnacentral:tRNA from 1 species
GGGCGGAUAGCUCAGCGGGAGAGCGCUUGACUCACAUUCAAGAGGUCCCGGGUUCGAUCCCCGGUCCGCCCACCA